GCGCAAACUGGCUCAAACCAGUAUAGAAAGAGGAGUGGGAGGCCCCGGUGCACAACUGAGCAAGAGGACAAGUACAUUAGUGUCUAGUUCUAGUUUGAGAAACAGACGCCUCAAGUCCUCAACUGGCUGCUUCAUGAAAUAGUACCCGCAAAACACCAGUCUCAACGCCAACAGUGAAGAGGCGACUCCGGGAUGCUGGCCUUGUAGGUAGAGUUGCACAGAAAAAGCCAUGUCUCAGACUGGCCAAUAAAAAUAAAAGAUUAAGAUGGGCAAAAGAACACAGACACUAGACAUAGCAACAAAAAAUUUGCUUUUCUUUCAAAAACAAGGACAUUUCUACGUGACCCCAAACUUUUGAACGGUAGUGUAUAUAUACAGUACCAGUCAAAAGUAUGGACAAACCUACUCAUUCAAGGGUUGUUCUUUAUUUUGACUAUUUUCUACAUUGUAGAAUAAUAGUGAAUAAAUCAGAACUAUGAAAUAACACAUAGAAUCAUGUAGUAACCAAAGAAUUGUUAAACAAAUCAAAAUAUAUUUUAUAUUUGAGAUUCUUCAAAGUAGCCACCCUUUGCCUUGAUGACAGCUCUGCACACCCUUGGCAUUCUCUCAACCAGCUGGAAGGCAUUUCAAUUAACAGGUGUGCCUUGUUAAAAGUUAAUUUGUGGAAUUUCUUUCCUUCUUAAUGUGUUUGAGACAAUCAGUUGUGUUGGGACAAGAUAGGGGUGGUAUACAGAAGAUAGCCCUAUUUGGUAAAAGACCAAGUCCAUGUUUUGACAAGAACAGCUCAAAUCAGCAAAGAGAAACGACAGUCCAUCAUUAUUUUAAGAUAUGAAGGUCAGUCAAGCUGGAAAAUUUCAAGAACUUUGAAAGUUGUGUCAUGGGAAUUUUAAUGUUUGUGCUUUUCUUAAACACAUGAGAACACCAUUCAGCUUGUUCGUCAAAUCAGGCCCUGGAAGCAGAUGGUCAUUUAAACUGGUUCCCUUGUACUUUGCAAAGCAAUUAACUACUUAUCUGCUUAUCUGGCUUUUUAGGAUGAUAGACGCCAUGAUGAGCUGUAAACCAAUUCCUCGCCUCCAUUUCCAUCAUCUUCAACUUCUUCCGCGUCACCAUUUUCAAUGACCUCAUCCAUGGACUUGACACGUUCCUUAAACCUUUCAUCCUUUAACAAUGGCGUGUUGUUUGUUGUCGGGUAGAUUGGGUCUCUCCUUAAAUGGCAAGGGUAUUUCAUAGUGGCCAUGACUAUUUUUCCCUAUACCAUCAUUCAUCUUCUUCAGGAAGAGGAUGUCAUCCUGAGGCACUGUCUUGCCAUCUUCACUGGAGUCCUUGAAAUCGUUCUCCAGAAUGUGAAUAGCAUCUGCAGGGGUUACUGAGGGGAUCUCUUUGACAAUUACCCAAUUACCCAACUCACAUUUCUGAGCUUCAAGAUCCUUCCUUUGCUGCUCUUUUAAGUGUUGUAUGCUUUCCUUUUGUUUCUUUUCCUCCAGCAACACUUCAUACUCAACUUCCUUUGCUACCAGCUUCACUGCUGCAUCUGCACGUUUGGCUGCCAUACUUGAGGCUAUGGAGCUAUGGCUGGAUUGAACACUGGACUUGUGACCUAUUUGUGAGACAGUAGAUCCAUAAAUGGAGCAAGCGCAGUCACAAUCAAGUAACUCACGGAGACAACGUUUUUCCUGUUUGGCAUCAAACUCUUCACCAAUGCCUGAUAUCCUUUCAUAGGCAAUUUUGAUAAUAUCUGCUGUAACUGCCUCACAUGCGUCGACACAACGCCUUAACUCAGUUGACGGUGUGAUGUGAUCUCGAAUUUCAAGAUAGUUGCUCAUGACAUCAUCCUUUCCUCUCUCCAAUGUGUCGAUCAGAAAUGCCAGUUGUCUCUCUGUUACGUCUGACUUUAGCUGCUCUCUUGCUUUGCGGGCUUGGAUCUUCCAUUGGUCAUACAUGGAGAUAAGUAUUUUUUCCUUUUUCUGUUCCUUGAAUUUCGUGUUAAAAAGUUGAAGAAGAGGUGACUGACUCUGCCAUUUUAAAUUUGAUUUACAGUGAAUUUGGGAGAAAGGCACAGUAGCACAAAUGACAUUUCAAACAGCCAAAUAUCAAUAUAACGGUGUAUCAACAGAUUCAUUCACUCUACUAUAUAUGGGUAUCCAAUCAUUGCAAACAUGCUUGAAUCAACCGUAAAUCAAUCGGGCAACAAUAUACAGCAGUCCUUAGUACUCUUGAGAUGCAAUUCAUUUUGAGAAUGGGAAAAUACGUUUAGUUAUGUCCAUAGAUAGUUGUUGAUGUGGACAGCCUUUACUGCCUUCUUAAAUCAUAGAAGUGAGCAUUAAUAAUCACUGACAAAUUAUAACUCCUUCCAUGACAGUCUUAAAUGAUCAGUUUAUAAAUAAUACUCACUACUUUCACUGCAUACGAUUGUCUAUAGUUAUGACCAUCACACAAAAUACAUUUUCCCGCUGCCCGUGGAGAUGCCAGAUUGACAGUUAGUGUUGGGGACUCAAGGGGAGAUGCAGAACUGCCCGAUAAAAGGUCCAAAGUCAGUAACAUCAGACAAGGUGGCAGUGUGACAUCGUGAAGACCCGUCCUCGUGUACACCAUUCAGAGAUGCAGCAGGGCGGCAGGAUUGAUGAGGGUCCAGCUCUUACUACAGCAUCCCCAGCUGAAUGAUGGUCAUCUCUCAAACUGAUGGGUCAUGAAAGUUUAAUGCGGUAUCAUUUCCAUAAACAAACCGUAAGAGCUGAUGGAGAAACAAAUCAAAAAUGCUCUUACAAUAUGAACAAUACAGUCCACAAACAAUACACUUUUCCACAACUUUACAUUAGCGUGCUUCAUACAUCAAAUGCAUCAAUAUGCAUGAAAAUGUAUACCCAAAUAGUUGUUUAAAUGCUAACAGCUUGCUAAUGUGGCCAAGAUUAACUAAUAUUAGCCUGUUAACGCUUGAACAACGUUAACAAAAGGAUUUUCUUUUUUCUCUCGCGCCUGUUUCCCAUAUACUCUUUGUGUGUACAACAGAGAAGGCAAAAAACCUGCUGUUAAAACAAAAGUCACACUGAACUGUCAAAUAUACAGUGAGGAUUGUACAAAGAAACUAAAAGUCCAAACAUAGAGCAGACAUUGUGAUCUGACACUUGGUUUUAGGGGUUAAUUUACAACCCUCUCUUCGCCAUCAGGUGAGUAUGAAUUAAUGAUCUACAAUUAUCUAUAUGGUGUAGGUAGCUAGCUAUAGCUGGUCCUUCCCUCCACCGAAUAAUGACAGAGAUGAAAGGAAUUAAGAUGGAAAGUUGAAUUGUUCAACAAUUAAAUUAUAAUUCUCAAUGGUAAUUAGUGAGUAUAGGUGAGUGUAUCUGUACAGAAAUAGGUGGGCAUACUGAGUAUGCCUGCAUAUGGCCACCACUACACAUGCAGGUGAGAUUGAAGCUUGCUCUGUUGACGGUGACACUACACAUAUAGGCAGGCACAACACUUGCCUUGCAUGGUAUGGUUUCGUAUAUCCUAAGGCACUCAAACUCAACUCUGGACCUCAAAGCCAGUGUCACUGCCUUUUUUCAUUGUUUUCCUCUAAUCAGGGACUGAUUUAUACCUGGCACACCAGAUGGGUACAAUUAUUUAUCAGGUAGAACAAAAAAACUGCAGGCUCUGGACCUUGUAAGGUAAUAGUUGAAUACCCUUGUACUAGAGUUUAAUUACAUAUUCCCUCUGUUUUUCUAGAGGGACAGGGACAGUGUGCAAUGUGCGAUAAACUAAAUUUACUUUGUAUUUGACUCCGUGUGUAGAAUCAUUCUCCAUAGAGACAGAUGCUGGAUGCAGAAUUAGACUCCUUUACAAUCCCUCACAUCCUACACAUGUUCAGCAGAGAAGAACAUCCAUAGACAUGGAGCUGCUGCAGCAGCUAGACCACUUCCUACAGGGGUUAGUGUGUGAAGGCUCUAGCCUGCUGCUUCUGAUGCUGCUCCCUUUGAGGAAGAACUUCCCGAAGAACAUGGCCUUCCUUUCACCAGGACACACACAUCUCAACCUCCACAUUAUACACUUCCACCCAAGUGCGCAAAGUGUCUGGUGCACCAAAGCGUCAAACUAGGGUCAGAGGGAGCUGGGGUGCAGACGGCAGUUUGGGGUAGAGAGGACAGUGGACUCAGUGGAGGACAUCCCAGCCACUUGGCAGUGUUGCCACUGCUACUUCCUACAUGUUUGGCAAGUGGACAUCACUUCUACUCAUACGACCAAUCAAAAUGAUAUAUGCCCUUUUUCUUUUUACAUCAGCAGUUGUCACAAAGGGAUUUUACAGUAACCCAGCCUACACAAGGGGAACCUGGGACACACAGGGCACCACUGCUCCUGCCAUCUCUUUCUCCCUGUGUGAUGUCAUAUCCUGUUCCUGUUUAGGCACCUGGCAAGACAACAUGAGGCUUCUGCUGUUCCUGCCCCAAAUACAUACAAGUACACACAAGUGCACACACUAAUAGGAAAGUUCCCCUAUUUAUAUGGUUGUGUGUAUGUGUGUUGUGUGUCAGAGGUGAGGGAUGAGAAGCCAGUGUUUGAGGAGAGGCGUCUGGUGUGAGAUGAGGACAUGCAGAUGCACUCCAAGUUCCUGGACAGAAAGGAGUUGAAUGCAGAGCAUGCCUCGUACCUGCUGCAGAACCAGAGCUCUGUGCUAUGAUGGCCAACUUUUUGCAGUUCCUUUUAAUACGAAAACCGAGCGACGUCUUCAUGUUCGCCCGUCAUGACUUCUCCCCCUUCCCUCCGACUCCCGGGGGGCACCUUUAAUACCCCCCCUUGACGACGCACACUUUGGCUAGAUCUCAAUAGUCUGGUUAGUAGCUUCUUCUCACAGGCAUUUUAGUGAAGACAAUACUCUUCUGGUUAGCACUUGACACUAGUAUGUACAGAGGCCCUUGAGAUCAUCAAAUAUGAACGCUUUUAUGGAGGUUUGGUAUUUUGUGAUAGUUUUUAAUGUUCUACUGUUUUGUUUGAAUGAGCUUUACUGAAACAAAUUAGGUAACACUUAAUUUUAAGGGGUCCUUAUUACAGUGUAAUUACAUGUGUAAUUACAAUGUAACACAUAUUGUAGUUAAUUGUAAUAACUCAUAGUUACACUGUAUUAACCACAUGUAACAGGUGGUAAUUGCAGUCUGUAAUUGUAGAGGUGUAAAAACAAAUGCUUGUUACAAAUGGGCAAGUUUCCACUAAAUUCACCAAUUUAGUGUUUAAUUUCUUCUCAGCUGCAUCUGAUUCAGUAAUAAGUGUAAUACGGUUGUAAUCUCUUGUGGAAAGAUGUACUGGGUGUCCGAGAUUACUAAAGUUGGAGGCUCGUUUGGUUGUAAUUACCUACUCGUGACUGCACAACUAAAAAAUCUCCACUUAAUGUUGUUGCUAAAUCUUGCCCCUAAAAAGUGUACCAUCUGGGUCAAGCUCAUCUUUUAAUUGUAAGUAUUUUCACUUGGUAGUGAGUAAUAAAUAAUUAUAUAGACAUUUUACACUUCACUUUAAAUAGCUAAAUUCUCUGUAAGAACUAACUGCAACCUAUUACAGAUAUGUACUCUGACGUAUUUGUCACGCCCUGACCUGAGAGAUCCUUUUUAUGUCUCUAUUUUGGUUUGGUCAGGGCGUGAGUUGGGGUGGGUAUUCUAUGUUCUAUGUUUUCUAUUUCUUUGUGUUUGGCCGGGUGUGGUUCUCAAUCAGAGGCAGCUGUCUAUCGUUGUCUCUGAUUGAGAACAAUACUUUGGUAGUCUUUGUGGGAAGUUGACUUUGUUUAGGGCACAUAGCCUUUGAGCUUCACGGUUUGUUUUUGUAGUGUUUAUUGUUUUGUUCGGCGUCUUUUUACCAAAUAAAGAGAAAAUGUACACUCA